rnacentral:lncRNA from 1 species
UACUUACUCAUGGAUACCAAUCAGAUUCUUCAUUUGCUGAGCCUAAAUUAUUAUUUGGUUAUGGUCUCUACAACCUUCAUGUCUUCAAGUUCUAUUGCGUUCUUUUCUUUUCCCUUUUGAUUGGGGUGCAUUGGCUCUAUGGAUUAUUCCAGGCUAGGGGUCAAAUUGGAGCUGCAGCUGCCAGUCUAUGGCACAGCCACAGCAAUACAGGAUCUGAGGCAUGUCUCAUACCUACACCACAGCUGACAGCAAUGCCAGAACAUUAACCCAGUAAGUGAUGCCAGGUCUCAUACCCAUGUCCCCAUAGAUCCUAGUCAGGAUCCUUACAGCUGAGCCAUGACAGGAACUCCUGCUAUUUCAUUUUUUCAUGGAUUGAAGAACAUGAGUGAAUUCCUCACUUCCAGUGUGCCUGCACUUUAGCAUUAAUCCUAGACUUUUUGGUGGCUUGGGAGUGUUGUUUUAUCUUUUUUUUUUUUUUUUUUUUUUUUUUUUUUUGGCUGCCAUUUGUGGCAUAUAGAAGUUCCCAGGGACAAGCCUAGAUCCUUAACCCUCUUCCCCACAAUCAGAAAAUUAUCACUGGUCAUUUAAAGUCCUAAGUCUUCUUGUAUCAAAAGCUACCUGGGGGUGGAUGCCAGUGGGCUGGUGAGGUUGGGACCACUGAGCUCCACAUGAUGUAAGACUCCACCCCAGCCAUUAAGUGGCCAUGAAAUUCCAGUCACUCCUUCCCCCUUCGUUUUGUCCUCAUUGGGACUAAGAGGCAGCUGCCUCCACCAAUUGGCACAUUGCAAUAAUACCACUGAGAUGAUAGGAUGCCCCCCCACCCACAAGGCAGUGAAGCAGAAAGUCCGUCCCUAUAGCCAAGCCUUUUCCUCUCUGGCCAGGCCACCCUCACAGGACACCCUGGAUGAGUGGAGGAUCACCUCAGCCUGUCAUCUGGCCACUUCAGAGAGGCAGAGAGAAACUCCCUAAAGAUGCCUUGGAGGGAUUUUCAUGGUCUGACUUCCGGUUGAGAAUGACUUCCCCGGUGACCUUGAUGCCUCACACCAAGUUCCCUGGCCCCGCCUACCAAGAAGCGCUCAGCUCAGCAGCAGUGAUUGGAGAGCCUCCCUGAGGAGCUUCCUGGCACCUCACCCUCACAGGCUGUCCCCACGUCCUGGGCCUGAGAGGCCAUCUUCAAUGAGCAAUGCCCCUCAGCAAGGUCACUUGCAGGUAGGGGACUUCUCCAAGGUAUGUUCCAGGCACCUUAAUGCCUGUGAUGGACAGGCAGAGUAUAAUAUCUGAGCUCAUCACUUCCUCCUCAACACUACCUUUCUCAAUACUCAGCAUACAUCUGUUCUUUAUUUCCUGACCUCACAAAACAAAUCUGAAAUACUGAGAAAAUAGCUGUGCACAGAGAAACCUUAGACAAACACAGAACACCCC